UACGUAGGGUGCAAGCGUUGUCCGGAAUUAUUGGGCGUAAAGAGCGUGUAGGCGGCCUGAAAGGUCAGCUGUGAAAACUCGAGGCUCAACCCCGAGCUGUCGGUGGAAACCGUGUGGCUAGAGUCCGGAAGAGGAGAGUGGAAUUCCCGGUGUAGCGGUGAAAUGCGCAGAUAUCGGGAAGAACACCCGUGGCGAAGGCGGCUCUCUGGGACGGUACUGACGCUGAGACGCGAAAGCGUGGGGAGCGAACAGG
rnacentral:rRNA from 1 species